rnacentral:rRNA from 1 species
GACGAACGCUGGCGGCGUGCCUAAUACAUGCAAGUCGAGCGAACCACUUCGGUGGUGAGCGGCGAACGGGUGAGUAACACGUAGGUGAUCUGCCCAUCAGACGGGGACAACGAUUGGAAACGAUCGCUAAUACCGGGUGGGACGAAAGUUUAAAGGUGCUUCUGGCACCGCUGAUGGAUGAGCCUGCGGCGCAUUAGCUAGUUGGUAGGGUAAAGGCCUACCAAGGCGACGAUGCGUAGCCGACCUGAGAGGGUGAACGGCCACACUGGGACUGGGACACGGCCCAGACUCCUACGGGAGGCAGCAGUAGGGAAUCUUCGGGAAUGGGCGAAAGCCUGACCGAGCAACGCCGCGUGAAUGAUGAAGGCCUUCGGGUUGUAAAAUUCUGUUAUAAGGGAAGAACGACUUUAGUAGGAAAUGGCUAGAGUGUGACGGUACCUUAUGAGAAAGCCACGGCUAACUACGUGCCAGCCGCCGCCGUAAAAC